AAAGUAGUUAAAAUUAAAAAUUUUGGCAGUUAAUUAUAUUAUUAAAGGAGCUUGUUAGUACUAAAGAAUUUAUUCUUUAAAUUUUAAUAUAAAUUUUUUGUUUAUUCAUUUCUGUUAUUAAAGAUUUUAAAAAAUUUUUAUUUAGAAUUUCAAGUCAAAGAUGUAACAUUUUAUUAUUAAUAAUUAGCUACAAUAAUUUAUUGUUUUUAGGGUUAGUAUUAAAUUUUUUAUAAAUUGAAUUUAGUUGUAAAUAGUGUAUUUUAUAAUAUUAUUAUGAUUUAAAGUAAUUAAUGU
rnacentral:rRNA from 1 species